rnacentral:sRNA from 1 species
GGGAGGUAAAUUUCUUCUAAAGCUAAAUACUGGCCAGAGACCGAUAGCGCACAAGUAGAGUGAUCGAAAGAUGAAAAGCACUUUGGAAAGAGAGUCAAAAAGCACGUGAAAUUGUUGAAAGGGAAGCGCUUGCAGCCAGACUUGCCUGCGGUUGCUCAUCCGGGCUCUUGCCCGGUGCACUCUUCCGUAGGCAGGCCAGCAUCAGUUUGGGCGGCUGGAUAAAGGCCUCUGUCAUGUACCUUCCCUCGGGAAGGCCUUAUAGGGGAGGCGUAAUGCAGCCAGCCUGGACUGAGGUCCGCGCAUUUGCUAGGAUGCUGGCGUAAUGGCUGUAAGCGGCCCGUCUUGAAACACGGAC